rnacentral:tRNA from 1 species
GCUCAGAUGGCGGAAUGGUAUACGCGCAUGCUUGAGGUGCAUGUGGGGGCAACCCCGUGGAGGUUCAAGUCCUCUUCUGAGCA